AUGUGUAUGUGUAUGUGUAUGUGUAUGUGUAUGUGUAUGUAUAUGUAUAUGUAUAUGUAUAUGUAUAUGUAUAUGUGUAUGUGUAUGUGUAUGUGUAUAUGUGUAUGUGCAUGUGUAUAUAUAUAAUAUAUUUGCAAAUUUAACACCAUUUGAGUUUUAUGAAAUUUUAAAGCAAAAUAUCAUGCAAACAAUACGAUUAUUAAAUACAUGUGAAGCCAUGUGUGGCUUAAAUGCACUGUUUUUCUAUGUCAUUAUUAGGUACACCACAUAGAACGGUUUUUACCAGGACUGCUCAAAGACUUACAGCUUAUUAUCCCAUAAACACAGCCUCCCCAAAUCAAAUGGUUCUGGACUGGAAUGGCCUCUGCCAUUUCUUAUCUCACAAAGAGACAGACUGUGGGCGCUGGAGAUGGACAGAAGCUCCCCAACAGAUAUUCUCCCCAAUCCAAAGGAUAGUAAUGCAUGUCAUGUCAGUACUUGAGCUGAUGGAGUAGGAACUGGCACGUGAUUGCCGUAGAACAGAAACUCCGCCUGCUGAGUAAUCUGGAGCAGAGCGCAGUCAUAAGGAAGUAUUAAGUCCAAUCAGAGGUGAGGAAGUGAGAUCCAGAGAAUGACUUUGCCAGAGGUCACAGAUGGUAAGACCUGGAGCUGAGAUUCACAAAGUCAGUGGUCCCAAAGCAUGUAUGGCUUUUACAACCCCACUUUAAUGCUGGCAGGAGGUUGGGUCCUUCGGCAAGGAAGAAGGAAAUAUGCUGGCUAUUUUUAUUCUCUGUCAUAAGCGAAAACCACCUGGAUAGUAUCAGUUGUAAGAUUGCCCGGAUCAGAAUGGCCUGUGACCACAUCUGUGGGGAACUGUCAUAACAGUUGGUUGUUAUAGAAACGGUAUACUACCCAUACUCUGAGCAGUGCCAGAGUCCCAGGCGGCCUUGGGUUGUAUAAUAAAAAUGACUGACAAGAGUCAGAGGGAGAGGGCCAGUAAGCAACGUUUUUUUCACUUCUUGCUGGAGUUCGAGUCCUGACUUUUUCCCUCGGGGAUGGACUACGACCUGGAUGUAAACCAAAUAACCCCCUGCCCCCUCCCCAGUUGUUUUUGGUGAUGGUGUUCAUCACGGCAACCAGAAAGCUAAGAAUCCUUUUAGAAGAUCGAAGAAAGAUGAGGGUGCUGUGAAAUAUUUUAUAUCUAAUGGAGAAGCUUCUAAUCACUGGUGCCCACAAUGCUGUGACCAUGAUUCAGGGACAGUGAUAUUGUUAUACCUGUAUCAGCAUUUAUUCCUCAACCGACAGCUGCAAAUUCAGGAGUGUAGCUGGUAACUUCAAGAUCUCCAUAGUGCACCAUAGGUGCCUUGGUCCCCCACCCCACGGGUGUGGGCCAGCUGCCUGAGCCUUAAGCCAUAGGCUGAUUUCAGGUCUACUCUCUGGGUCUCAACCUCUCCACAGCUCUGAAGAGUUUCUACAACGUUCCUUACAUGGAUGAUCGCAGAAGCCCAAGGAGACAAGUCCAACAAUGAACCACAUGCACAGAUCCUCUUGUCAUGUCUCCUAACCCUCCUUUGACCAAAGUUAUCGGAAUUCCAGCUUCAGUAUGACAGAGAAUACACUGACGCUGCCCAAUCGGCGGGGGGUGGGAGUGGGGGACACAGGGUUACACACAUGAAGUGUGGAUGUGCAAGUCUACACACUGAAGUAGCAGAGACUUGGAAGUCGGCAACAAACAGAGCAUGGGGUAGAGCAGGAGUUUGGACACAUCUCAAAGGCACAAAGUCUUGACUGUGGCUUAGCAAAAGCAGAGCUGCUGGGCUUUUGGCAAAGUGACAAUAGAGUCAUGGGCUCAGAAAGAGAAGAAAGAGGGGUGGAGUGAAGAAAGUGGGAGCUGGUACAUUAGACUGCAAUUAAAAAUGGAGGGUAAGGGCUAGACAUGAAAAGAAAUAGCCAAAAAUAUCGCAUGAAAGAGAAAGGUUUACAAUGCAGUGUAGUAACCCCAGAUCAGCCCAACACCAAUUACGAGGAAAACCAAACAGAUCUGGGGAGUCCUCUAUUCUUUGUGUACAAGUAACCAAGGGAAGUGGAAUAAAAGGAGGCAUAUGAUCCAAGAGGUGGCUCUCCAGUCGAGAUAAUAUAUUCUGUAAAGUCGGCCAAAAUUUUUAUUAUGCAAAUAAUAAGAUUCCUAUAAAUAUUUUACACAUAUGAGCUGGAACCAUGACUUCAUUACCCUGCCACUGAGGAGUAAACAUGAUUAUCAUUUUAAUAUAUAGCCUUUAGACCAUGCAUAUAUUAUCCAUUUAUGUAUGAUAAUAAUAAAAUUGAUAAUAUAACCAGUUAA